UCUUUUAAAUUUGUGACAAAGAACUUCUCAAAAAUAAAUUCCUAUAAAGUAUAAGUUUUCAAUCAAUCUGCUCACGAACGGUCGCUCGUCGCCUGAAUGACGCGGAUUUACGCAGUUACCGACUCGUGAAGAAAACGCUUAUUAGCAAACGUAACCAACUAAGACGCUUACAGUUGGCUAAAGAUCAUAUGGAAUGGCCGAUAAGCAAGCCGAAAACUGUUCUAUUCAGUAAUGAGUCAAAAUUAAAUUAAAUCUUAAAAAUUCCUAUUGUCUAAAAACAGUCAAACAUAGUGGCUACGUCAUGGUCUGGAGAUGCUUUUCUGCUGCUGGUUUGGGGCCGUAAUGCUGCCACAUGCUGAAUGGGAAAUACCACUUAAGUGUGUCUUCCAACAGGAUAACGACGAAGCAUACGGCAAAGGUCCUAAAAUCACGUUGACAUUUGUCUCGAUUAAUAACUAGAAUAACCAGACGCAGCCGUCAUGAACAUUUCCAUACUACGAUUUCAUUAUUACUGUUUUGAACCUGAAUCACCAAACAUCCACAGAGCGCUCAUUGGUCCACUUUGAAUGUCAAUGUGAAGGCGAAAAGCAUCGCACAAACCAAUUGCAACUAAUUGUGAUGAUGAACAUACAUUACGCACAGUACGUUGGUAUUAAAAAUAUAUGCACACUGUAAAAGUCAACAAAUGCGAGUAAUUUUCAAGGAAACAUUUAAACCAACCAAUUGUUUCAAUUUUUAAUCAUCAAUGCUAUUAAAUACCGCAGCGUGAUAAACGAAACGAAAGUAUAAAAUAAACUGUCGUGAUAUAUAAUACAUUCAUACAUAUACUCAUAUGAAUUAUUAUAUAUACCAUAUAUAUGUAUGCACAAUAUAUAAAAUUUUUGAAGAAAGCAGCAACCUUGAACGAUCAGCAAAAAAAUAGAAAAAUUGCGAGAAUCAAAAAGCUAAAAGGAUUGUGUGAUGCUGACUGACGCCACAUGAAAAAGAAACGCGUGGGCGGCAUUGAAUAGACGGAAUUGUGGACGCUUCAUAUUCAAAUAAUUCAUACAUACCCGAGUAUACGCAAAAUUGAAAACAACAACAGCAAGAAUUUGACACGCAUGCAAAUGCUACGUGAAAGAAGAAAUAAUUUGCCAAAUUUUAGCUUGCACACGCCACAUAUAUAAGUAAAAUAUGUAUGUGUAACAAGUAAGGAAGGACUAAGUUCGGGUGUAACCGGACAUUUUAUACUUGAUUUGUGCACUGGAAAGUAAGAGAAUCAUAUGGAAUUUAAAAUUGUGCUAUAUGGUGAUACAAACAACUGUUAGGUGGACAAAACUAUUAUACUACGUAGCAACAUGUUGCAAGAGUAUAAAAAAAUAAUUAAAAAAAUACUUCCGAAGUAAUGAAAACGAAGACCUUAUAUGGGAUGAAUUCAAAAAGUAAUUUUAUUUCCCUGGUAAGGAGUUCAUCUUUUGAGGCUGUAGUUGAAGUGUCAGUUCUGGUUUAUCUAAUACAUUUAAAAAUUUGCCAAUUUUACCUUAAGGAAUGUAACUGAUCUGGACACACAAAUUAUAUGGCUGCACGAUUCAUUAAUAAAAAUUGUGUUUUAAAACCUUUAAACAAUUAUUAACUUGAAUUAGUAGUAAAUGAUAUG